AGAGUGGGCAUUAAUAUGCAGCUAUCAUAUUCUUGCAACCACUUUUAGCUGGUCUAUUCUUCACAAAACACAAUGCUAUAUUAUUGUAGAUAAGCAGGUUUAUUUCGAGAGAUUCUCAGGAAUAUUUUUGAAGUAUUGCCUGGUUGUAGCUCCAUUCAAACCUUGUUUUUUUCCUCUCUAAUUUUGAAGAUAGAGUAAUAUUUUUCUACUUUUAAAUUGGUUUGCAAUCAGCUUACCAUUCUCUAUCCUGUCAAGCUUGAGGUGGCAAUCCAGACUUGGUUGAUAGUUGAGCAUGCUGUUUUCCUACCCAGAACUGUUUCUUACUUCUUUACUAAUGCAGUGGGCCCGCAUUACCCUGUUUAUGGUAUGUAUGUUUAUGUCACAUCACAACUAUGAUCUUGAAAAUGAGAACAUACUUCCUUCAGGUAGUAAACUCCUUCAGUUACUCUCUGAUUUCAGUAGCGCUACAUCUGUACUUCAUAUUACAUCUAUGUGCAUUCUGAAGUAAGAUCAGUGACUACAUGCUUAAGACAAACUUAAAAAAAAAAAAAAAAAAAAAAGAACAGAGAAGCCUCUUUUAGAUUCAAAUAAGUUCAAUGACAACAAGCAUUAAAGCAUACAUACCUAAAAAGGGGGACAAUUUCUCCUUGACUGAAGAAUAGAACUUAUACAAAGAUAGUUAUCUGUGGUUGUCCCUGAACUCCUCUUCCUUUCCCUUUUUUCAUUCUUUUAUUCUAUUACAAUGAGAAUGUGACCUAAAGUAACCUUACAAUAACAAUGCUAAAUACUUUCUCGUGUAUAAUGGAGACAAAGUACAAGUCUGGUGUGUUUUUUUUUUUUGUCCAGACACUGGCAAUGACUCAAAUGAGAAAAGUAUAAGUUUCAAAUUUCAACAGUUAUACUUGAAACCUGUAUUUAAAUAGGUGCCUGUUUGUGAAAGACAGACGUUAUGAUCUAUUGCUAGCUUCAGUUCGAAACCACUACAGUAUACUCUACGACAAUUUCAUAAUCCUUUUUUUCCCCAGGCAAUUUUUUUUCAGGCUUGAGGCUAAUCUUGUUAUUCCUACAGGUAAGUUAACACGCUGCAUGCUUGAUUUGGAUACCACUUUGCAAUAAUUUGUUUAUGAUACCAGGUCUGGAUUACAGUUAAGUUACUUCAAACUGGUUAGUUCAACCAACAAGCUAUGAAAAAAGCAACAGGGAAUGAGGAAGGCUGCAAAUAUGGCAUUUAUUAACUAUUCAUAUCUUGUUCAGUAUUUUCAGUGCUAAUAAUCCUGGAUUAUUUCACAAGUGUGGUCUUUGUAACUAAGAGAGUAACAUUACUUCGUGCUGCUUCAGUCUAUGCAAAUCAAAAUACGGAACUACAAUUAAUCCUCUAAGCAAAACUACUUACCAGAAUCUCCAAGCUCCUAUCACAUCAGUAACUAGUCAAGGUCCUGCCCCCGUGCAGAAAUGUUCAACCAUUUGCUGAAGAUAUCAUCUCACCUUUCAAGUUUUAGCUCUGGCUUCCAAAAACCACUGUGAGUGCUUUCUAACCCUUCAAUGUAAACCUUACGUAUCAAUGGAUCAGUAUAAAGAUAUCUGUACAUGAGGUACUACAUAGGUGGUACCAGACAAAAUUUUCUACAUUACUUUUGGUGGUACAAAAAUGUUCUCUGACAAACAGGCAUAAGAUAAAUGACAGUAAUUUCUGACUUACUGUUGUAAACCAAACUCAAAUUUUCAAAACGUAUCCAAUCCAAAAUCCAAUUAUUAACAUCCUUUCUUUACACAGAAGUCAUUAACUGAUUAUUCCUUAUCAGCCGCUCAAAUCUUGGACAUCUUUCUUGACUCUAAAGAUUUGGACUUCAGCACUAAUGAAGUCACUUCAGACAUGAGAGAAAAUAAACCGUUUAACAUAUAGUUUUCUGUAUUUGCUAGAGUACAGUCAAAAAGUCCUAACAGCAGCUGUUAAAGGAUAUGACGCUCCAUGGGUAAGUUCACCACACAAAGGAUAUGUGAAUAAGUAUUUUCUGAUCUUCCUUGCUUAUAAUUUCUUCAUCACUACAGUUGCCAUUACAACUUCUAAUGAGUCAUGACUAAUUUCAUGCAUCCAGGCUCUGUAAUCUAUUCAUUAUUCCUGUAGUACUUCUAAAAUUCUCAUCUGUUAAACCAACGCACACAUAAUACAUUUUAGGCACUUUCUCCUUUCCAGGAGAGAAGCACCAUUACUCAUUCACUGAAAAAUGCAGGUGCUAAGACAUUCUUCCAUGAUUAUCAUUCAAGGAUACCACUCCCCUUCACCACAUUAAACAGCUCUUUUCCUGCAGUUUAACAUCACCCUGCACCACCUCAUGCUUUAUCAAGCUGGUGUUUCCUGAUUUCACUCCACUAAUGAGAUCAUCCUUGCUCCCUUGCUUGGCACACAAUGUCCUUUUGCCUGUCUCCCGUUUCAGCUUGGGAAAUGGCACAGAGAAUUUACAGGCCUAUAAUGCUAUUUUGUUUAAAAGCUGAAUACAAAAACAACUUGCACCUGGAGCAGCUUGGUCAUACCACACAUGUUUAAAACUUACUACAGAAGGCAUCCAGAGUGACUGUGUGAGAAAACACUACGCACAGAUGAACUACACUAAGGCAAUGUGAUAUGAAAGCCAAGAAGUUGAACAUCAGAAUUGGAGAUCAACAGCAAAAGGGAUGAAACUGCUUGUUUACAAGUUCUUCUCUGGCUGCUAGGAAAGAAAGAUACUACAGAAAAUGAUUGAAACAUUAAAAUGACUUAUUUUAGGAAAGUUCAAGAGGACUUUAAAAAAAA